rnacentral:sRNA from 1 species
GGGGGCAUCGGCAAGACUACACUAGCACAAGCUAUUUACAAUGAUGAGCGGAUUACUGAGAUUUUUGAUCUGAAGAUAUGGGUUUGUGUCUCCCAUAAUUUUGA